UACGUAGGGUGCGAGCGUUAAUCGGAAUUACUGGGCGUAAAGUGUGCGCAGGCGGCGUUGCAAGUCGAGUGUGAAAGCCCCGGGCUUAACUUGGGAAUUGCGCUCGAAACUACGAUGCUGGAGUGUGGCAGAGGAAGGUGGGAUUCCACGUGUAGCGGUGAAAUGCGUAGAGAUGUGGAGGAAUACCGAUGGCGAAGGCAGCCCCCUGGGAUAACACUGACGCUCAUGCACGAAAGCGUGGGGAGCAAACAGG
rnacentral:rRNA from 1 species